rnacentral:rRNA from 1 species
GCCUGAUCUAGCCAUGCCGCGUGUGUGAUGAAGGUCUUAGGAUCGUAAAGCACUUUCGCCAGGGAUGAUAAUGACAGUACCUGGUAAAGAAACCCCGGCUAACUCCGUGCCAGCAGCCGCGGUAAUACGGAGGGGGUUAGCGUUGUUCGGAAUUACUGGGCGUAAAGCGUACGUAGGCGGAUUGGAAAGUUGGGGGUGAAAUCCCAGGGCUCAACCCUGGAACUGCCUCCAAAACUAUCAGUCUAGAGUUCGAGAGAGGUGAGUGGAAUUCCAAGUGUAGAGGUGAAAUUCGUAGAUAUUUGGAGGAACACCAGUGGCGAAGGCGGCUCACUGGCUCGAUACUGACGCUGAGGUACGAAAGUGUGGGGAGCAAACAGGAUUAGAUACCCUGGUAGUCCACACCGUAAACGAUGAAUGCCAGUCGUCGGGCAGUAUACUGUUCGGUGACACACCUAACGGAUUAAGCAUUCCGCCUGGGGAGUACGGUCGCAAGAUUAAAACUCAAA